UACGAAGGGGGCUAGCGUUGUUCGGAAUUACUGGGCGUAAAGCGCGCGCAGGCGGUCUUCCAAGUCAGUGGUGAAAGCCCGGAGCUCAACUCCAGAACUGCCUUCGAUACUGGAAGACUUGAGUCCGGGAGAGGUGAGUGGAACUGCGAGUGUAAGAGGUGAAAUUCGUAGAUAUUCGCAAGAACACCAGUGGCGAAGGCGGCUCACUGGCCCGGUACUGACGCUGAGGUGCGAAAGCGUGGGGAGCAAACAGG
rnacentral:rRNA from 1 species